AAUAAAUAAAGACAAUUGAACCUGAUUUUUCCCUUAGAUUCUCCAGAGAAAGAACUUCUAUAUGGAAAGAGGCAGAUUGCUGGAAGGAGUAAAUAAUUCACAGACAACUCAUAAGCCCUGAGCUCUGGUCUGUCUCUGCCAAUUAAAUGCUGUGGAACUUUUGGAAAUGAAGAUGAGAUAAAGGCUUUUCAUACCAACAAAAGUGGAAAGAAUUCAUCAUAAGAAGACUUGAGUGAGAAGAAAUGCUAAGAAAGCUCUUCAAGUAGAAGAAAAUGAUACCAGAUGGAAAUCUGGAUCUCCACAAAGGAACAAAAAGUAUUGAGAAUGGGAACUAUCCUAUGUGGUGCUGGGGAUGCCAGAGUUGGAAUUCAAGACCCAGGGAGAAGGGCUUCAGUCAGCACUCCAGUACCUCAGCUGGGAAUCCUGGAGGCUAUACCCUAUGUAUGGGGAAAAUGAGAGGUAGAUGGAAACUAAAAAACAAACAAACAAACCAGUCCCUGAUUAGUUGUGACUUUAUCUGCCUACCAGAAAAUAGGACUAGCCCUCUCUGGAAGAUGAUAGCAUUAUCCAGAACCUCAUACACAAAAUUUACCCAGGACACUCAUGAAGAGGAGGAAGAAAAGACAACAUAAACAGACAUACAGGUCACCUACUUAUUGGAGUUAACAGAUGGAUGUUCAAAUCUGUAUUAUUCUUAUAUUCAAGAGAAUGAAUGACAAAGAGUAGAAUUCCACUGGAGAACUAGUUAACCAAGGCUAGAUGGCUUCAUUGAAAGACUUUGUCAAGCAUGAAUAAAGCCACUAUAAAUAUUCUUGCACAAGUCUCUUUGUGAAUACAUUUUUAUUCCUUUAGGUAAACGCCUAGCGGAGGAAUUGCUGGGUCAUACAUAGGGUAGGAGUAUUAUAACCUUAUAAGAAACUGUCAAAUGGUUUCCAAAAUGGUUUCACCCAUUUAUAUUCCCACAGACUUUAUUCAUAAUAACCAAUCCUGAGGGAAAAUCUAUAAUGUUCGUCAAAAGAAGGAAAUCCUGGCUGUGCCUAUAAUCACAGCAUUCUGGGAGGCCAAGGCAGGAGGAUCACUUGAGCCCGGGAGUUCAAGACCAGCCUGUGCAACAUAGUGAGAUAUCGUCUCUACAAUUUUUUUUUUAAUUAGCGGGGUGUGUUGACACACACCUGUGGUCCCAGCUACAUGGAAGGCUGAGGUGGAGGAUUGCUUGAGCGCAGGAGGUCAAGGCUGCAGUGGUUUAUGACCACACCAGUCCACUCCAGCCUGGGUGACAGAGCAAGACCCAGUCUCAAAAGAAAAAAGAAGGAAAUCCUGUCAUUCAUGACAUCAUGGAUGAAACUUCAGGGCAUUAUUCUAAGUGAAAUAAGCCAGUCAUAGAAAGACAAAUACUGCAUGAUCUCACUUAGAUGUGUGAUAUGGUCUGGCUCUGUGUUCCCACCCAAAUCUCACCUUGAGUUGUAAUUCCCAUGUGCUGGGGGAGGGACCUCAUGGGAGGUGAUUGAACCAUGGGGCGGUUCCCCUGUGCUGUUCUCAUGAUAGUGAGUGAGUUCUCAUGAAAUCUGAUGAUUUUGUGAGGGGCUUUUCCCCCCUUCGAUCUGCACUUCUCUUGGUCUUCUCCUUCUUGCUGCCAUGUGAAGAAAGACAUGUUUGCUUCCCCUUCUGCCAUGAUUGUAAGUUUUCUGAGGCCAAGCCCUGGGGAACUGUGAGUCAAUUAAACC
rnacentral:lncRNA from 10 species